UCAAUAGGCGUUAAGGGAAUGAAGAAGAAGAAGGGGAAAGAAAGAAGGAAAUACAAUAUCUGAAGAUGAGAAAGGAAUACCAGAAACAAAGAAAAGGGAGAAUAGAAAAGGGCAAUGUGUGUGGACGAGAAGAAAUUGAAGGAAGGAAUAGAAGGAAAGAAGGAGAGAAGGAAAUGCAGAAGAAAGAAGAAGGAGAGGAAUCAAAGAAGGAAGGAAGAACAUUAUGCGUAGACGAAAAUAAACUGAAAGAAGGAUAGACUGAAGGAAAAUAAUGAAGGAAAUGAAUGAAGGAAGGAAGGAUAAGGAGGAUGAGCGGGUGGGUGAUGAAUUCAGUGGAAGGGGAGGGUGGAGGAAGUGAAGUGGACUGGGGCGGACAACGAGGGUAAUGGGGUGAGUUGUGGGGAGAUUACAUUAACCAAUUGAAGGGGUGGGGAGAGAAAAGGGGGGAGGGGGGAGAGAGGAAGGGGGGAGAGAGGGGAUGAAGGAAGGGGGGAGGGGGGUUAACCAGACAGGGAGUGGGGAGAGAGAAAAGUGGGGAGGGGGGAGAGAGGAGGAGGGGAGAGGGGAGAUGGAGAUAGGGGGGGAGGGGGGUUAACCUGACAGCUUCCCUAAAAUUAUGUAAGUGGAAAUGCGGUUACACACACACACACACACACACACACACACACACACACACACACACACACACACACACGCAUAUUACGACCAACACACGGCAGCGAUUCAAAUACAAGUUAUAUAAAAAAAAAAAGAUCUACAAAAUAAUGAUGACUCACUAAAUUACUAUCUAUAUCAAUGUUUGCGUAUCUUUUUCUUGUGUUUUUUUCUUGUUUUUUUUUUUAUAAGUAUGUAAUGUGUGUGUGUGUGUGUGUGUGUGUGUGUGUGUGUGUGUGUGUGUUUCUUGCUUUUAAAUAGAUAGAUAGAUAGAUAGAUAGAUAGAUAGAUAGAGAGAGAGAGAGAGAGAGAGAGAGAGAGAGAGAGAGAGAGAGAGAGAGAGAGAGAGAGAGAGAGAGAGAGAGAGAGAGAGAGAGAGAGAGAGAGAGAGAGAGAGAUCCACCUAGACACAUACAGACAAACAUACAAGCACCAACACAGAAACGCACAGAGAAAAGACAAAGAAACAAACAAACAAACAAACAAACAAACAAUGACACACAGACAAACAAACAGACACACACAAACAGACAAACACACGAAUAUAAACAACAAACAAGUGAGAGUCUUUCCACACAUUGAAUACAAAUAGAAAAAAAAAUAACUGCCCUGCUUUUCCUUUUCUCAUAUAUACAAAUUACUUUACAAAUUACGACUUUUUGCAUUACUAAUAAAUAAAUAAAUAAAUAAAUAAAUAAAUAAAAUAAAUAACGUAAACCUAAUCUAACCUAAUCAUAACCUCAGUAAAAUCAAAGAAAAACAAAGAAAAAAAUAUUAUAUGUAUUAGUGUUUCUAUCUUAUUUUUUCUUCUAUUUCCUAUUAUUAUUAUUAUUUUCCUAUCCUAUCUUUUUUUUCUUUCUUUUUUCUUGUUUUCAGUGUUAAGAAAAUAGAAAAGGAAGAGAAGAAUAUAUAUAAUGUGACUGAGACAUAAUAAAAAAGUGUGUGUGUGUGUGUGUGUGUGUACCGCGUAGCAACACCUGAGUUAUAUACAUGGUCGCAGGUGAGGUGUUAGUAAGAGUAAUAAAGGUUAAUUAAUAGCUACAGGUGUUACGUGAGUGAGUCAAUACCUGUGAAAGUCUACGGUGUUUGGAAUGCAUGUUUGAGAAGAGAAAGAAAAGAAAGAAAAAGAAACGAAAAAGAAAAUGUGACACAGAGGAACAGGAGAAGCCAUGACGGGAGGAAGAGGAAGAGGAGAAGGAGGAGGAGGAGGAGGAGGAGGAGGGGAAGUGUAUAAAUAUAUGACAGUUCUAUAUGUAAUAAUAAGUAUGUCAAAUGUAGUAUAUUUUUUUUCCUUUCUAAAACCUAUUCAUGUUGCGAGGAGGAGAAGGAGGAGGAGGAGGCGGAGACGAGGAGGAGGAGGAGGAGGAGGAAGGAGAGGAGGAGGAGGAAAAUGGAGGAGGAUUUGACAUUGAAGGAAAGAGAUGUGGUGUAAACAGUGAUAGAUAUACAGACAGAUAGAUAGAUAGACAGAUACGGAUAGAUAGACGGUAUAUUUAUGGUGUUUCGCGUACAUUAUCUAUUAUAUUUGCAUUCUUCUUGAGUUAGCGAGUGGGUUGCAAGAAGAGACAAAAAGUGAAAGCGAGGCAAAAGUGAGGGAAAGAUAUAUAGCAAAACAGCUUAUGAAUGAGUUGGCUGAAUUUACAAAUCUUUCUCGGGUAUAUAAUAAAAAGGAGAGAGAGAGGAAAAUAAGAGAAUCAAAGGAAGAAAGGCGAAAACAAGAGAGACAGACAUGGGUUAGGUUAGUUUAAAUCUUACUUGUCCAUAUAAGCAGGGGAAAAAAAAGGAGGAAAAUGGGAAAAAAGAGAGAGGAAAAUAAGAGAAUCAACAGAAGAAAGGCGAAAACAAGAGAGACAGACAUGGGUUAGGUUAGUUUAAAUCUUCCUUGACCAAAUAAGCAGGAAAAAAAGGAGGAAAAUGAGA